GGGUGUUUUAUGGUAGAAUCUAUCCAUUUGUGAUGGGGUGUUCUAUGGCGGCCAUUUGGAAGUUUCCUGGAUCCAUGGUGCGUACAUUGAGUCAUUAUAGACUACAUAACGAGCUAAAUCCUUUCAAAGUCAAUGUCUCAUAUAUUGUUUAGUUAACUGAAACCCCAGAGCCUUUGUACAUUUUCAGCAGGUAUGCCAUCUGCUCUGGGAUAAGAAUCCCUUAGAUUCAGUUCUGUUUAUAUUUAAUAUGUUUAAUAUAUGUUUUCUUUGAAGCACAUUUUUUUCCUUUUCCUCAUUUGUAUUAUAUAUUAUUUAUAAAUG